UACGUAGGGUGCAAGCGUUGUCCGGAUUUAUUGGGCGUAAAGAGCUCGUAGGCGGUUUGUCGCGUCGGAUGUGAAAACCCAGGGCUCAACCCUGGGCCUGCAUUCGAUACGGGCAGACUAGAGUAUGGCAGGGGAGACUGGAAUUCCUGGUGUAGCGGUGAAAUGCGCAGAUAUCAGGAGGAACACCGGUGGCGAAGGCGGGUCUCUGGGCCAAAACUGACGCUGAGGCGCGAAAGCUAGGGGAGCAAACAGG
rnacentral:rRNA from 1 species